GAUAUGGCUCAGGACGAACGCUGGCGGCGCGCCUAACACAUGCAAGUCGAACGANAGAUGAGGAGCUUGCUCCUCAAAUCGAGUGGCGAACGGGUGAGUAACGCGUGAGGAACCUGCCUCAAAGAGGGGGACAACAGUUGGAAACGACUGCUAAUACCGCAUAAGCCCACGGCUCGGCAUCGAGCAGAGGGAAAAGGAGUGAUCCGCUUUGAGAUGGCCUCGCCGUCCGAUUAG
rnacentral:rRNA from 1 species